CCUACGGGGGGCUGCAGUGGGGAAUAUUGGACAAUGGGCGAAAGCCUGAUCCAGCCAUGCCGCGUGUGUGAAGAAGGCCUUCGGGUUGUAAAGCACUUUCAGUGGGGAAGAAAGCCUUGGGGCUAAUACCCUCGAGGAAGGACAUCACCCACAGAAGAAGCACCGGCUAACUCCGUGCCAGCAGCCGCGGUAAUACGGAGGGUGCGGGCGUUAAUCGGAAUUACUGGGCGUAAAGCGCGCGUAGGCGGUCUGAUAAGCCGGUUGUGAAAGCCCCGGGCUCAACCUGGGAACGGCAUCCGGAACUGUCAGGGUAGAGUGCAGGAGGGGAAGGUAGAAUUCCCGGGGGAGCGGGGAAAUGGGUAGAGAUCGGGAGGAAUACCAGUGGCGAAGGCGGCCUUCUGGACUGACACUGACGCUGAGGUGCGAAAGCGUGGGUAGCAAACAGGAUUAGAUACCCUUGUAGUC
rnacentral:rRNA from 1 species